AACUUCUGUUUGGUCUCCCCGCUCAGGAUGAACGCUGGCGGCGUGCCUAAUACAUGCAAGUCGAGCGAAUGGAUUAAGAGCUUGCUCUUAUGAAGUUAGCGGCGGACGGGUGAGUAACACGUGGGUAACCUGCCCAUAAGACUGGGAUAACUCCGGGAAACCGGGGCUAAUACCGGAUAACAUUUUGAACUGCAUGGUUCGAAAUUGAAAGGCGGCUUCGGCUGUCACUUAUGGAUGGACCCGCGUCGCAUUAGCUAGUUGGUGAGGUAACGGCUCACCAAGGCAACGAUGCGUAGCCGACCUGAGAGGGUGAUCGGCCACACUGGGACUGAGACACGGCCCAGACUCCUACGGGAGGCAGCAGUAGGGAAUCUUCCGCAAUGGACGAAAGUCUGACGGAGCAACGCCGCGUGAGUGAUGAAGGCUUUCGGGUCGUAAAACUCUGUUGUUAGGGAAGAACAAGUGCUAGUUGAAUAAGCUGGCACCUUGACGGUACCUAACCAGAAAGCCACGGCUAACUACGUGCCAGCAGCCGCGGUAAUACGUAGGUGGCAAGCGUUAUCCGGAAUUAUUGGGCGUAAAGCGCGCGCAGGUGGUUUCUUAAGUCUGAUGUGAAAGCCCACGGCUCAACCGUGGAGGGUCAUUGGAAACUGGGAGACUUGAGUGCAGAAGAGGAAAGUGGAAUUCCAUGUGUAGCGGUGAAAUGCGUAGAGAUAUGGAGGAACACCAGUGGCGAAGGCGACUUUCUGGUCUGUAACUGA
rnacentral:rRNA from 1 species